GUUAUUUGGAUACUUAAAGAGACUCAGUUAACUUUUCAACCCAUUAAUAUUUAUACCCUUUUAAGGUGUUAAAUGUUAACCUUGGAGGGCUAGGUUAAUAAUUACUCUUUUUAAAGAUUAAAACUUAUAAGCGUAACAUUUAACUCUUGAUUUUUUAAUUUUACAUAUCAUGAAAGUGCUAGGAUUAGGAAUCCUAAAACGAGAAAGUACUAAACAAACACUAAUUAGGAAUAUGAAACCGAUACUAACUAGGAAAUUUUAAACAAUAGAUUUCCUAAAUAAUGAAAAUACUACUUCCUAAUUAAAUU
rnacentral:misc_RNA from 1 species